rnacentral:misc_RNA from 1 species
AAGCACAGCUGCUUCUUCAACACGAGAACUAAAAACUCUUACGAGUCUGGUUUUCACUGCGAAUGCAGUUGUAGCCUGCAGCAUUUUCCAGUAAGGCGAUAGUCAAUGAUAGGCUAGUGAUACCAUUGUGCUUACAGAUGAAGCAUAUGAACAAGAAAUUACCCCAAUUCAGUAGUUCCUGAUGUCUCAUAGUUCUGUUGCUG